rnacentral:rRNA from 1 species
CUUUGGCCUCAAAUCAGGUAGGACUACCCGCUGAACUUAAGCAUAUCAAUAAGCGGAGGAAAAGAAACUAACAAGGAUUCCCCUAGUAACGGCGAGUGAAGCGGGAAGAGCUCAAAUUUGAAAUCUGGCGGUCUGCGGCCGUCCGAGUUGUAAUCUAGAGAGGUGUUUUCCGUGCCGGACCGCGUACAAGUCCCUUGGAACAGGGCGUCAUAGAGGGUGAGAAUCCCGUCCGUGACGCGGACUACCGGUGCUCUGUGAUACACCUUCAAAGAGUCGAGUUGUUUGGGAAUGCAGCUCAAAACGGGUGGUAAAUUCCAUCUAAAGCUAAAUACGGGCGAGAGACCGAUAGCGAACAAGUACCGUGAGGGAAAGAUGAAAAGAACUUUGGAAAGAGAGUUAAACAGUACGUGAAAUUGUUGAAAGGGAAACGCUUGAAGUCAGUCGCGUCUGCCAGGACUCAGCCUUGCUUCUGCUUGGUGCAUUUCCUGAUGGAUGGGCCAGCAUCGAUUUUGGACGCCGGAAAAGGGCGGGAGGAAUGUGGCAGCUUGCUGUGUUAUAGCCUCCCGUCGUACACGGUGACUGGGAUCGAGGACUGCAGCACGCCUUUUGGUCGGGGUUCGCCCACGCCACGUGCUUAGGAUGCUGGCGUAAUGGCUUUAAACGACCCGUCUUGAAACA